rnacentral:rRNA from 1 species
CAGCAGCCGCGGUAAUACGAAGGGGGCUAGCGUUGUUCGGAUUUACUGGGCGUAAAGGGCGCGUAGGCGGACUGAUAAGUCAGGGGUGAAAUCCCAAGGCUCAACCUUGGAACUGCCUUUGAUACUGUUUGUCUUGAGUUCGAGAGAGGUAAGUGGAACUGCGAGUGUAGAGGUGAAAUUCGUAGAUAUUCGCAAGAACACCAGUGGCGAAGGCGGCUUACUGGCUCGAAACUGACGCUGAGGCGCGAAAGCGUGGGGAGCAAACAGGAUUAGAUACCCGGGUAGUCCCUGUCUCUUAUAC